ACACUUUCCCUACAAAAAAGAAGGUUACUUCUCUUCCUUCUCACAUAAUACAUCUGCUCCCUCUCUAGCACUUAUAACUAUCUUUACCAUACAAGAUACUGACUUGAGCGUCGGAGUGCCCUCGGGGUGAACCCCCUCGGGCCCUCUAACUAGAGUUUCAUGUGGCUGCAGUUCAAGACCCGACAUCCCGCAAGAGGAACCGUCACCAUGACGACAAGAUGACGAACCUGAACCGGAGCUCACCGAAUCUAAGAAAAAUUUAGAGAGAGAAACAGUUUAGAGAGAGAUUCAGAGAGAGUGAGAUCGGAACAGAGAGAUGAUCGGAGAAGGUGGUGAAGAAUGUGGGCGUUGGAGUUAGCGUCAGUUGUUUAGGUUAACGGAGAUGAUGGUGUUUCCAAUGAUUCCGGUUAUGGAGGUAAAUGGGGAUAGUAGGGAUUGUUAAUUUGACGGUGAAGAUGAACGGCGACGAUGAUUGACAAAUCACGAUGGUUCCGACGACAGAAGAUAUGAAAUCCGGUGACUGAUGAGUUCCCUGACGACCACCGAUAGAUUGAAGGUUACUAAAAGGUGUGUAGGACGGUGAUUAAUUCACUCCGGCUACCGGCAUACGCUAGAGAGAUAGAUGAGCAUAAAAGGACACUGCUCCUGAUUAACAAGGCGGAUCUUUUGCCAUAUUCCGUGAGACUGAAAUGGGCCGAGUACUUCCAGCUUCAUGGUAUUCUGUAUCUCUUUUGGAGGACUCCGGUGGUGGGGGUGAGACGGUGGUGGUGGGUGUUUGGAGGUGGCGGUAGUGCGAUGGUGGUAGCAGUGGUGGGGAUGAUGGUGGGGCGAUGGUGGGGAUGGUGGUUGUGCGGUGGUGUUUAGAAAGAGAGAAGAGACUUGUACUGAUGUGCAUAUAAGACUUGUACUUUGUGUGUAAAU
rnacentral:lncRNA from 1 species